GUUUUCUUUAUAUUUUACUGAAGCUUCAGUGCAUUCAUACAUAUUUUUUAACACUUUAUAUAAUUUAGGUCUCAUAUUAUCAGUCUUGAUCAAUUUAUAUAGAAGGCCUAGUCUCCAAACUGAGUCAAAUGCCUUCUUCAAAUCUACAAAACAUCCAAAUAAUUUUUGGUUUUUAUUAUUUAUAUAUUUAUUAAUAACUGUUUUUAAAAUAAACAAACUAUCUGAAGUUCUAUUAUUCUUUCGGAAUCCAAACUGUGCUGGAU
rnacentral:lncRNA from 1 species